CCUUGGUUGAUUAUUUGGCUUUUGGGCCUUCAAAGUGUGAGGUUGGGCCUUGCGCUUGAACCAAGCUGGGUUGGGGGUAAAAUGGUCUUUUUACCCAAAGUAUGGAUUUAUGGUUAUGUAUUGGAACCUAAUUGUUAAUUUGGUGUUGUUUUGGCGUUGACAGUUCGGGGAUCUAUCAGCCAGCAGCCAGAGAUAUAUCUGCGGGACUUCAACAGUGCGAGUGGGCGAGGACCAGUGACAGGCGAGGCCUGAGAAUACCAGAUCUGUAAUCCGAGCGGGGUUGGAUGUCAGGCGGGGCCCGAGGCCGAGUGGGACUCGAGACCGGGCGAGGCCCGAUGGAGGGCGGGAGCCCAAUAUGUGAUUUAUGUAUGUAUGGUAUGUGGUAUCUUGGGGAAUUAACUAAGUUUCGUGCUUAAGGUUUUCAUUUUAUGUUUAAGGAACUUCGGUUUUCAAUGGAAGAACUUGGGAUGGUUGCAGGGAUCACACCUCGUGUUUCCACAUUCUGUGAUUUACUCUGAUUCAAUGAUGUUUUGUUAAAUCUUGACAACCAUGGUUUUAUGGAAAUAAUAUGUAUUAUGAUUUAUUAAUUUAUAAACUAAAUUUUUAUGUUA